UGCUCGGGGUCAGUGGUCGCCUGCGCUUAAGGGUCCUGGUGGCUCUGCCGCAGCCUCUGUGACGCUGUGACCUGCACUGAGCAUAGGAAUCAUAGGAAGGACUCAGGGGACCCAGGAGCCCUA
ensembl:miRNA